rnacentral:rRNA from 1 species
CCGAUGGCGAAGGCAGCCAUCUGGCCUAAUACUGACACUGAGGUGCGAAAGCAUGGGGAGCAAACAGGAUUAGAUACCUUGGUAGUCCAUGCCGUAAACGAUGUCUACUAGCCGUUGGGGCCUUUGUGGCUUUAGUGGCGCAGCUAACGCGAUAAGUAGACCGCCUGGGGAGUACGGUCGCAAGACUAAAACUCAAAUGAAUUGACGGGGGCCCGCACAAGCGGUGGAGCAUGUGGUUUAAUUCGAUGCAACGCGAAGAACCUAACCUGUUCUUGACAUAGUAAGAACUUUCCAGAGAUGGAUUGGUGCCUUCGGGAACUUACAUACAGGUGCUGCAUGGCUCUCGUCAGCUCGUGUCAUGAGAUGUUGGGUUAAGUCCCGCAACGAGCGCAACCCUUUUCCUUAUUUGCCAUCGGGUUAAGCCGGGAACUUUAAGGAUACUGCCAGUGACAAACGGGAGGAAGGCGGGGAUGACGUCAAGUCAUCAUGGCCCUUACGACCAGGGCUACACACGUGCUACAAUGGUCGGUACAAAGGGUUGCUACCUCGCGAGAGGAUGCUAAUCUCAAAAAGCCGAUUGUAGUCCGGAUUGGAGUCUGCAACUCGACUCCAUGAAGUCGGAAUCGCUAGUAAUCGCGGAUCAGAAUGCCGCGGUGAAUACGUUGGCGGGCCUUGUACACACCGCCCGUCACACCAUGGGAGUUCGU